rnacentral:tRNA from 1 species
GAGCCGAGAAAAAAGGGCUGCUAACUCUUUACCCCGAGGCGAAAACCUCGGCCGGCCCA